rnacentral:snoRNA from 1 species
AUGCAUCUCUGACAGAUCUGGAGCAGUUAAUACCUAUUACUAGGUUUCCAUUACAGAUGCAAGAGAAAGAAGGUCCUUGUGCUUUUUCUCUAGCUGGUUGUGGCAGCCAACAUUGAAUGGGAGGAUACAGGA